rnacentral:lncRNA from 1 species
CUCUCACAUGGAAAAAGAAAAAAUUGACAAACACUGAAGAAAGAGAGAGUUUUGGCCUUCUCUACUUUUAUCUUUCCUUUUUACACUACCAUAUAGCUAGUCCACACCAUACUCUUCCGACCAACGUGUUUUCAUAACCAACCAUCAUCGACUCUGUUUCGUGACCGUGUCGUUCGCACUUCACGACUAACCACCUCGACUUCCGCCUUCUCCUUUCCCAUUUUGCCGCUACCGAGUGGUGAUCGGAGCCUUUCGAAAAACAGUUUUCCGCGAGCGUCACCUGUGGGUACCAUUUCACUUUCCUUUCUUCUCUUUUUUUUUGGCAUUUGAUGUGUUUGUUUUUAUUCUGCAAGUCUGUUUUAGAUUAGCAUGAAUAAGAAGUAUAUUUUCUUUUGAAGCGUUUCUGAACUUAGUUUAUUUUGAUUUCAUUUCAAAUAACAUUGGUGUUGGUUUUAAUGUAGAAAAGUUAAAGUUUUUUUUUAUAUAAGAAAUCACCACAUGGUCAAACUACACAUAUGUAGGACUCUAUCCUUAUUUCUUUCAGUCUUAGUUUGUAUGCUUUUCUUGCUUGCCUUUCAGCAUUACAUUUGAUUAUUUUAGAUAUAGUUUGAUUUUUCCUUUUAGAAGUUGUUGUUAUUUUGAGAAUGGAUAUAUCUCUAACUCUUCAUUUUGCUGCAAUGCUGGUUUGUAAACUUUAAAAUAGAUUAAAUAAAUUGGUUAUUGAAUUUAUCAAAGUUCAGCAUAUUUUUUGU